rnacentral:rRNA from 1 species
GACGAACGCUGGCGGCGCGCUUAACACAUGCAAGUCGAACGUGAAGCCCGGGCUUGCCCGGGUGGAAAGUGGCGAACGGGUGCGUAACACGUGAGCAACCUGCCCCGAAGACCGGGAUAACACCGGGAAACCGGUGCUAAUACCGGAUGCCCUCAUCAUGUCGCAUGGCGAGAUGAGGAAAUGGAUUCCGCUUCGGGAUGGGCUCGCGGCCUAUCAGCUUGUUGGUGGGGUGACGGCCUACCAAGGCGACGACGGGUAGCUGGUCUGAGAGGAUGUCCAGCCACACUGGGACUGAGACACGGCCCAGACUCCUACGGGAGGCAGCAGUGGGGAAUUUUGCACAAUGGGCGAAAGCCUGAUGCAGCAACGCCGCGUGCGGGAUGAAGGCCCUCGGGUCGUAAACCGCUUUCAGCAGGGAUGAAAUUGACAGUACCUGCAGAAGAAGCCCCGGCUAACUACGUGCCAGCAGCCGCGGUAAUAC